UGAUGGGAUUGUGAAUGAGGAAGGGAGUGUUAAGGAAGGGAGUAGGUUGAGCAUGGUAUAGGAGUAUCUGAUUGACACGCCCAUUCUAAAGCUGGAUAUCAACAACAUUUUUAAAUGGGACAAGGUCAAGGGUGCUGACAUGGUGGAAAGGUCAAAUAGUUUCUCAGUACCUUGUAAACACCAACAGAUGACCAUCAUAGCCUGCUCUGGAUGUCAGCCAGCAGUGAGGACAGAUGUGGAACUUGUUUUGAAAUGAAUGAUGUCAAUUAUUUUUUAUAUUAUAAUUAAAGCAUUUGAAAUGUAUCGACCUGCAUGGGUACCUGCAUGGGUAAACACAAUAUGAUACGUUUUGUAUAGCUUGAUUUCCCCUUAAUAUACUGUCUGUUUUAUUUAUCAAUUUUAAUGAGGAAAAAACUGAAUGUGUUUCUUUAUUAGAAAUAAUGUGUGCUGUUUUAUAAACGUG